UUAAGAGAUACAUGAGCUAAGAAAGGAGAACUUGAACACGGAUGUUGUUCAUAAUCUAGUUGAUUCAAAGGCAGAAAAUUCAGAAAGUGAAGCCUUGAGCACUACCAAUAGAGGUGUGCAUAAAUUGGCCGAGUCUUGAAUUCGGUCCGGAAUCGGACCUGAAUUAUCCUGUCCGGUCCGAACUAGUGGAUUCCGGAUCGAACACCGAUAUUUAAAAAUAGGUGAUUCCAGAUUCCGGUCCUAACCGGACAAAAACCGGAAAAGUCUGGUUUAGACCUGAACUCGGUCAAAACAUAGUCCGUGUUUUGUUUUUGGAGGCGUUACCAACAAGGCAACAACAUAACUUACUUUUAUUUUCUAUAGCCAACCCAACUCUACUUUAGGGCUCCAAUUUCCUUUGUCUCUUUCCCAUCACUAGUCACUUCCUCCCUCAUUAUCUCUCCUUUUACCCACCAAAGCAACGUUUUCCACCAUCCCAAAUCAACUUAAUCUCAUCCUAGUUCUUACCUCAUGUGUUAACAAAUGCAUCUCCACCUACAAUGGACCUACUGGUCAAAAACCGGUCCGGACCAGACCGGUCUUAAUUGGAAUUCCUGUCCGGUCUCCGGAUCACGAAAAUUUUGGAUUUUGGUUCCGGACAAUACCGGUUCCGGUCCGGACCAGACCGGUUUUGGACCGGUACACAGUCCUAACUACCAUAGACAACCAUCAUUAGAGAAGAGUUGAGCAUGAGCCUAGGAACGAUGUCUGCUUCAGGUGAACAUCUAAUAUAGCAUUUGUUUGUGUUUAACUGAAUUCAAUAGUUGAUAGAAGGCGGGAAGCUUAGCUUAGGAGUAAGAUCGAGGAGGAAGGUUGAUCCCUGCGCAGGGAAGAAGACCACGAGUAAGCGUGCGGCUAGGAGGAUUGUCACCCCUGUCUCCCAUACUAACCCCGUUGUUUGCGGGAACAUAAAUGGAAAGAAGAGAGAGAUUGAUGCCUCACUACAAGAAAGUCUUCGAAGCCCCAAGAUGAAGUGCGCGCUUAGUUGUGCCCCUUUGUAAUAAUGAUGAGUCUUGUUCUAGUGUUGUAGAGUCUUGUACUAGUAGUGUCGAGUCUUAUGUUAUGUAUCAUACUAGAAAGGUCAAAGAUAUUUCUCCUAUAUGAAUCAGCGGUAGGAUGAUAGUAGUGGGAUAUGUUGUUUGUAUCUACCGCCAAAAAAAUAAAAAGAUAAUUAUACAAAAAAAAUAUAUAUAUAUAACAAUAAAAAACAAGA